UGAGGGGAAGAGGGAAAUCAAGGACAAUCUCUUGAUCUGUGACUAGAGUAACUGGGUGAAUUGAAGUGCUAUUUACCGAGAUGGGGAGGAACAGCAUUUGGGUGGGGGGAAGCCAAACACUGUUAGGACAGACAUGUUACGUUUGAAAUGCCUACUGGCUAUCUAAGUGGAGAUGUCCAACAGGCAGUUGGCUAUGUGGUCUGGAACUCAACUGGGGAGGUCUAGCUAGAGAUAGAAAUAUUCAGGAGGUUUCGGUAGAUGUCAUUCAAAGCCACAAGCCAGGAUGAGAGUCCCAAAGACGUAAGUGUGAAUGGCAAAGAACACAGGUGCAGGACUGAACCCUGGGGCCUCCCAACGUUUAAUGGUCAAGAGAUGAGAAGAGACCAGCGAAGAAGACUGGAUAGAAAUGGCUAGUAAAGUUGAAGGGAAACAGAGGGAACUAUCCUGAAAGCUAAGAGAAAUGGGUGUUUUCUGUCAGCCAGGGGCCAGUUGGAGCACAGAAGCCAAACUCAGAAUUGUAAACAGAAAGAACCGAACGCGAGGAAGCGGUUACUCAGGUGAGAGCUAUUCCUCUCAGGAAGCGCUGGCAAGCUAAGGAGGGGAUGGUGAACUAACCCAGAGACCAGCAACAGCAGGAAGCCAUUCCCCUUGAGGGCUUCUAGCUGCUUCCCCUUCACAGGGGGUGAAAGCAGAAGUUGGUGUUACUCAAGUCCAGGGUCAGGGACCACCCAGCAGAAGCAGGAAGGCUGGCCCCACGGGAGCUUGGUCCACAGAGGGAGGGCCUACGGGGGGGCCACGGAAGAGAUGCAGUGAGUGUUAGAGAUGACACUGCGCACAGAGGGAAAGGAAGGGGAGCACCCUCGCUUCUCCCCUCCUCCUGCUCUCCAGUCUUCAGCCAGUAAUGCCCAUUGGCCAAACCCGCCCGGAAGUCAGAGGGGCAGGACACCCGGGAUCUGUAAUUGUCUGUACUACACAGCGGAGCAGAACAGGCGAAGUGGCCAGCACAUGGAAAGAAACCAAGGCGCUGGGAGGUCUAGAGACCUAGCUGUUACAGCACUGUCAGAGCCUAGUGACACCUGACGCUUUCUGAGGACCUACUAUGUGCCGAGGACGGUGCUAGGUGCUGGGACAUGAUAGUGAGCUGAAGCAGAGAUCUGCGGCCUCUGGCACGACCUUCCUGCCUCUGUCUAGAUGCCCUGCGCUAUGCCUCUUUACUGAAAUCCAGUCCGAUCCUCAAGGUGUGGGGUGAGCCUGGCCUCCACCUGCCAAAGCCCACCGUUCUCAUUGUCACCUAGAACGCACUUUCUUCCUCCUUCAAGAAGCAGUUAGCAAGCAGCUACUGUGUAUUUUAGCAAACGGAAAAAUCAAACCUUUUGUGGAGCCUCUCGGAACGCACAAAGAGCUUUCAUAAAUAUUUGAUUGUUUGAUUGUUGCAAAACGCUACCAAUGCCAUUUUACUUUUCAGCUAUAAAAUGUCAUUUAGGGGCACCUGGCCGGCUCAGUCUCUAGAGCGUGCGACUCUUGAUCUCAGGGUUGUGAGCUGGAGCCCCACGUUGGGGUGUAGUGAUUACUU